CGGCACCGGGUUCCACCUUGAUCCUUAGGGAUGAGCCAGCCCCGCGAUGGGCGCAGCAUCACCUUCCCCGUCUCGCAGCGGCAGGGAGGGAGAAGUGAUCAAACCGCGGGCAGGAUGGGAUGGAGACGCAAUUCCCGACGGCGCACACAUCACCCCCGGGAAAGAGAAGGAGAAGAAUCUGGACACUGAUAGAGUGAGGAAAUCAGGUGUAAUAAUUCCUUCUCGUACAUCUGGUGGCAGCACUGACACCACCCUGAGCCCAGCACUCCCAUGAAACCACGUCCCUGGCAAGUUUCUCCACAUCUCAGUGCUUUCCAUGCCUUUGCUGCUCUUUUCUCCUUCUCUGUUUUGUUUUCAAAGAGAGAAGGCCAGAGCCAGGAUAACAGGAGCUCCAGCCUUUAAAACCUUAGUUUCCCCCUCCAAAAAAGAGGAUAAUGACUGUGUUAAACAC